GGAGCUUGGCUGAGGUGGGGGUAUGGAUGACUGAAAAGGAACAAGAGGGAACUUUAUGAGAAUCAGUUCAAUAGCAACAAAUGGUCUACUUACUCCAGCUCCCAGCUUCCUUUGGCAUUCCCAGCAUUGCCCUGAGAAGGUCCUCCUCCAAGAAAAGAGCACCAGCUGCCUAAGUUUAAGCAAUGGCCAUAACCCCCUCCUCUGUACCCUAAGUUUUAUUAAGUCCACCUCUUCCCUCCAGCUCCAACAGACCCAGGAGGUCAGCUGCUUCCUGCAGACACUAAUCACAAAUUCAGCGAUGUUUAGAGCCAAUGAGAGUCAGCUGCAGAUGACCACAGUAGCCCAAACGAGAAGGAACAAUUUACGUGAUGGGAGAAAAUGUGCCUGUCAACAACAGAUAUUCCUGAAAUAUUAGUUUGAUCAGUGCAAGCAAGAAGACACAAAUGAACGGGUGCAUCUGAGGUCUGUCAGGGUUCAGACCAGCCCUGCUGAUCAAGUGUCUGUUUCGCUACCUUGAUGUUCACAUGUGAAAGUGAAAAAUCAGAAUUUCUCAGCUGGAGCAGGAGAAAAAAUCAAAGACAAGCCAUUUGUUUAGAAAACGAGCUAUAUAUCUUUGCUAAAGCUUAGCUUCAUAUCUACUUUCGAGAAGAUUAAAGGAGCUAAAAAUUCAAAACAAAACAAACACCUAAUUAUCUUCAGCUCAAUUGUCCAAACAUGUUGAUUAUAUCUAUUAAUUUAUCCUGACCUAUCACCAAGUCAAU
rnacentral:lncRNA from 1 species